ensembl:snRNA U6 U6 spliceosomal RNA
CUGCUGUCUUUGGCAGCACAUAUACUAAAAUUGAACCGAUGCAGAGAAGAUUAGCAUGGCUCCUGCAACAAAGAUGAAAUGCAAAUUCGUGAAGCAGUCCAUAUUUUA